UGAUAAUCAAAAGAUUUGACAUUAAUUUUUUCAAUUUCGUUCUUUGCUGCUUCCAAAAAUAGUUCAAUAUUCCGGAAGCCCGCAAAGUUCGGUGUAUAUCUACUUUUCGGUUUCAAAUUUGUACGAUUUAGGACAUUCGUUGUGUCAUUCUCCUCCAGAAGGGACAAUAAUGUGGUUAAACACUGAUAGUCUUUAGGUGUAAGACCUAAGUCUCUGGCUUUUUUCUCAUUUUGUACAGAAUGGAAUUUAAAUAAGGCAAGUUUUCGAACAAAAAGAUUCAAGUCUUUAAUCCACUCAAAUCUAUCAAAG